rnacentral:lncRNA from 1 species
GUCACUUCAUUUUCACAUAAAAGAAAAGUAGGGCAUGGGGAGUAUCACAAUUCUACGAAGAUCGUGAUACUCCAUGACACCCACAUCACAAUAGUUUUAAGGUCAUUGAUUGAUCACAGACUAGAUAGAACCGUGAUUAAGGAUCACGGCCCUAUGGGGUCCGUAAAGCACAUUUUGAGCAAAAAUAAAAAAAUAGCGGCAAAAUGGGUAUGGCCACAUAUUUCAAAGAAUCUUGGUAUUAUUUAAGUUUUUUGGAGAAACGUGAUAUUUUUUAUAAUUACCCAAAAAAUUUAAUAAUU